rnacentral:rRNA from 1 species
AUUGAACGCUGGCGGCAGGCCUAACACAUGCAAGUCGAACGAGUGGCGGAGGGGUGAGUAAUGUCUGGGAAACUGCCUGAUGGACGGGGAUAACUACUGGAAAAGGUAGCUAAUACCGCAUACCCUGAGAUGUGCCCAGAUGGGAUUAGCUAGUUGGUGGGGUAACGGCUCACCAAGGCGAAGAUGCCUAGCUGGUCUGAGAGGGUGACCAGCCACACUGGGACUGAGACACGGUCCAGACUCCUACGGGAGGCAGCAGUGGGGAAUAUUGCACAAUGGGCGCAAGUCUGACGCAGCCAUGCCGCGUGUAUGAAGAAGGCCUUCGGGUUGUAAAGUACUUUCAUCAGAGAGGCGUUACCCACAGAAGAAGCACCGGCUAACUCCGUGCCAGCAGCCGCGGUAAUUC